rnacentral:rRNA from 1 species
UACGUAGGGGGCAAGCGUUGUCCGGAUUUAUUGGGCGUAAAGAGCGUGUAGGCGGUUCGGUAGGUCCGUUGUGAAAACUCGAGGCUCAACCUCGAGACGCCGAUGGAAACCAUCGAACUAGAGUCCGGAAGAGGAGAGUGGAAUUCCUGGUGUAGCGGUGAAAUGCGCAGAUAUCAGGAAGAACACCAGUGGCGAAGGCGGCUCACUGGCCCGGUACUGACGCUGAGACGCGAAAGCGUGGGGAGCAAACAGG